AUUAGCCAUGCAUGUCUCAGUACAAGCCAAAUUAAGGUGAAACCGCGAAAGGCUCAUUAAAUCAGUUAUGGUUCCUUAGAUCGUACCCACAUUUACUUGGAUAACUGUGGUAAUUCUAGAGCUAAUACAUGCAAACAGAGCUCCGACCGGAGACGGAAGGAGCGCUUUUAUUAGAUCAAAACCAAUCGGUGGCGGGUAAAACCGUUACCGUACACCUUGGUGACUCUGAAUAACUUUUUGCUGAUCGCACGGUCUCGCACCGGCGACGCAUCUUUCAAAUGUCUGCCUUAUCAACUGUCGAUGGUAGGUUCUGCGCCUACCAUGGUUGUAACGGGUAACGGGGAAUCAGGGUUCGAUUCCGGAGAGGGAGCCUGAGAAACGGCUACCACAUCCAAGGAAGGCAGCAGGCGCGCAAAUUACCCACUCCCGGCACGGGGAGGUAGUGACGAAAAAUAACGAUACGGGACUCAUCCGAGGCCCCGUAAUCGGAAUGAGUACACUCUAAACCCUUUAACGAGGAUCAAUUGGAGGGCAAGUCUGGUGCCAGCAGCCGCGGUAACACCAGCUCCAAAAGCGUAUAUUAAAGUUGUUGCGGUUAAAAAGCUCGUAGUCGAAUUUGUGUCCCGCGCCGCCGGUUCAUCGCUCGCGGUGUCAACUGGCGUGUCCGCGGGACGUCCUGCCGGUGGGCUUAGCCUUUCGGGGCGGCCCAAUUUCAAUCCCACCGCGGUGCUCUUUACUGAGUGUCGAGGUGGGCCGGCACGUUUACUUUGAACAAAUUAGAGUGCUUAAAGCAGGCUAAAACAUCGCCUGAAUACUGUGUGCAUGGAAUAAUGGAAUAGGACCUCGGUCUAUUUUGUUGGUUUUCGGAACCCCGAGGUAAUGAUUAAUAGGAACGGAUGGGGCAUUCGUAUUGCGACGUUAGAGGUGAAAUUCUUGGAAUCGUCGCAAGACGGACAGAAGCGAAAGCAUUUGCCAAAAACGCUUUCAUUGAUCAGAAACGAAAGUUAGAGGUC
rnacentral:rRNA from 1 species